AGCUGCCACCACGUAGCACAAUGCCUACCACGUACACGUGCUGAGAGACAACAACACACGUCAAUUGUUGCUUCACGAGCUGCCACCACGUAGCACAAUGCCUACCACGUGUCUCGCAUGACCGCUGGUCUUGAUUCCAUCCACCAGUCUUCGUCCCAUUCCUCUCCCCCUGUACUCGUACUGAAGUGAAGUGAGGAAGCAGCUGGAGGAGGCGGACGAGGGCACCUUGGGUUCCAUCUUCGCGGCGGCUCACACUGCAACUUGGCGGUGGAGCAGCUCCCGCUGCAGCUCGGAGGCGCUGCGGCUCCAUCUGCAUCUCGGCGGCCCGGCAGCUCGGAGUUGCAGCGGCUCCAUCUGCAUCCCUACGGCCCAGCAGCUCCCACUGCAGCUCGGAGCCACGAAAUCGGUAGAUGGCGCCACCGUUUCUCGUAUGGGUGAGCCAAAUCUACGCAGUUGCCACUGUCACUCCCCGCGUCUGUUCCGGCUGUGCUGGCACUCCCUGAAGCUGGUGACUUUCCAUGACAAAGGAGGCUCCAGCAAGACGAUACGACCGCUGUUUCCACUCAGAGUAUGGACUGGGCAACGAAGUUUCAAUCCAUGGUGAUGUCUACAGCUACGGCAUAUUGUUGCUGGAGAUGUUCACUGGAAGAAGGCCAACAGACAGCGAAUUCGGAGAAUCCUGUGCAAAUGGCAUUGCCAGAAAGGGCGGCAGAGGUCAUAGACCGAGACUUACUAGCAGAGACAGAAGAUGGCAAAGAAACCAGCUCAAACUCUAAUAGCAAUAUGGGUCUGAGAAUUGCUUGCAUCACUUCAGUUCUGGGCACUGGUAUUUCGUGCUCACAGGAGACACCAUCGGAUCGCAUCCAAAUCGGGGAUGCUCUCAAAGAGUUGCUGGCAAUAAGAGACAGAUUUCAAUAGGCUCCAGCUAGCUCCAAACAAAAAUGUAGUUGUGUUUUGUGACAUCUUUGUUGUAUUAGUGUAAUGGUAUAUCUGCAUUGUUGAAUGUACGUAUAUACAGUGUUGUAUAAGUAUGUUCUAGAACAAGUGCAGGGUGUAGCGCGUGAUUCUGAUUGUGUAAUCAGCCGGUUCGAUUGAUCCUUA